CUGGACUGCGACCUAUCAGGCUGUUGGUGGUGUGACGGACCACCAAACCUACGACGGGUACGGGCGAUGGGAGUCGGAGCCCGGAGAUGGGGACUGAGACAAGGCCCCAGGCCCUACGGGGCGCAGCAGGCGCGAAAACUCCGCAAUGCGCGCAAGCGUGACGGGGGAAUCCCAAGUGCCGUUGGUCUUUUGAUCGACGGCUUUUCGGAAGUUUAAGAAGCUUCCGGAAUAAGGGCUGGGUAAGACUGGUGCCAGCCGCCGCGGUAACACCAGCAGCCCAAGUAGUGGCCGCGAUUAUUGGGCCUAAAGCGCUCGUAGCCGGGCCAGCAAGUCCUUUGUGAAAUCGGGCCGCCCAACGGUUCGGCGUGCAAAGGAUACUGUUGGCCUUGAGGCCGGGAGAGGUUUGAGGUACUCCUGGGGUAGCGGUGAAAUGCUCUAAUCCUGGGGGGACCACCAGUGGCGAAGGCGUCCGACCANAACGGACCUGACGGUGAGGGGCGAAGGCUAGGGGAGCGAACGGGAUUAGAUACCCCGGUAGUCCUAGCUGUAAAGCAUGCGGGCUAGGUGUCUAGCGCUCCUCGAGGGCGCUAGGUGCCGGAGGGAAGCCGUUAAGCCCGCCGCCUGGGAAGUACGGCCGCA
rnacentral:rRNA from 1 species